AACGAACGCUGGCGGCAGGCCUAACACAUGCAAGUCGAACGCUCUAGCAAUAGAGAGUGGCAGACGGGUGAGUAACGCGUGGGAACCUUCCCAAUGGUGCAGAAUAGCCCAGGGAAACUUGGGGUGAUACUGCAUAAGCCCUUCGGGGGAAAGAUUUAUCGCCAUUGGAUGGGCCCGCGUCGGAUUAGCUGGUUGGUGAGGUAAUGGCUCACCAAGGCAACGAUCCGUAGCUGGUUUGAGAGAAUGACCAGCCACACUGGGACUGAGACACGGCCCAGACUCCUACGGGAGGCAGCAGUGGGGAAUCUUGGACAAUGGGCGCAAGCCUGAUCCAGCCAUGCCGCGUGAGUGACGAAGGCCUUAGGGUUGUAAAGCUCUUUUGCCGGGGACGAUAAUGACGGUACCCGGAGAGUAAGUCCCGGCUAACUUCGUGCCAGCCGCCGCAGUAA
rnacentral:rRNA from 1 species